UUCCUGAUGGCUCAGUGGAAAAGAAUCUGCCUGCAAUGCAGGAGACACAGGUUUGAUCUCUGGGUCAGGAAG
rnacentral:tRNA from 1 species